rnacentral:misc_RNA from 1 species
GUGAAUCAUCGAAUUUUUGAACGCAAAUUGCACUCUCCUCGGAGAGUAUGCCUGUUUGAGGGUCGGUAGAAUAAAAAAUGGAGGCGUCGCUCUUUUUUGGAGGGGGAUCUCGGCGACAUUGAGCCGUCUUUCAAAUGUUAAUUCAUGUCGAUGUGGCUUAAGAUUCAUUCGUCGGGUACAAUUAAAACGUAUUU